GAUGAACGCUGGCGGCGUGCCUAAUACAUGCAAGUCGAGCGAACAGAUAAGGAGCUUGCUCCUUUGACGUUAGCGGCGGACGGGUGAGUAACACGUGGGUAACCUACCUAUAAGACUGGGAUAACUUCGGGAAACCGGAGCUAAUACCGGAUAACAUUUUGAACCGCAUGGUUCUAAAGUGAAAGAUGGUUUUGCUAUCACUUAUAGAUGGACCCGCGCCGUAUUAGCUAGUUGGUAAGGUAACGGCUUACCAAGGCAACGAUACGUAGCCGACCUGAGAGGGUGAUCGGCCACACUGGAACUGAGACACGGUCCAGACUCCUACGGGAGGCAGCAGUAGGGAAUCUUCCGCAAUGGGCGAAAGCCUGACGGAGCAACGCCGCGUGAGUGAUGAAGGGUUUCGGCUCGUAAAACUCUGUGAUUAGGGAAGAACAAAUGUGUAAGUAACUGUGCACGUCUUGACGGUACCUAAUCAGAAAGCCACGGCUAACUACGUG
rnacentral:rRNA from 1 species